UGUGUCCUACGGGACGCAGCAGUGGGGAAUAUUGCACAAUGGGGGAAACCCUGAUGCAGCGACGCCGCGUGAGCGAAGAAGUAUUUCGGUAUGUAAAGCUCUAUCAGCAGGGAAGAAAAAUGACGGUACCUGAGUAAGAAGCACCGGCUAAAUACGUGCCAGCAGCCGCGGUAAUACGUAUGGUGCAAGCGUUAUCCGGAUUUACUGGGUGUAAAGGGAGAGCAGGCGGUGCGGCAAGUCUGAUGUGAAAGCCGGGGGCUCAAGCCCGGGAGUGGAUUGGAAACUACCGAACUAGAGGGUAGGAG
rnacentral:rRNA from 1 species